GGAGAGGUGCCUGAGUGGCCGAAAGGAACAGUUUGCUAAACUGUCGUACUGGUAACGGUACCGCGGGUUCGAAUCCCGCCCUCUCCG
rfam:Pedobacter sp. BMA contig10, whole genome shotgun sequence.